rnacentral:rRNA from 1 species
UAGAGUUUGAUCAUGGCUCAGAUUGAACGCUGGCGGCAGGCCUAACACAUGCAAGUCGAACGGUAACAGGAAGCAGCUUGCUGCUUUGCUGACGAGUGGCGGACGGGUGAGUAAUGUCUGGGAAACUGCCCGGUGGAGGGGGAUAACUACUGGAAACGGUAGCUAAUACCGCAUAACGUCGCAAGACCAAAGAGGGGGACCUUCGGGCCUCUUGCCACCGGAUGUGCCCAGAUGGGAUUAGCUUGUUGGUGAGGUAACGGCUCACCAAGGCGACGAUCCCUAGCUGGUCUGAGAGGAUGACCAGCCACACUGGAACUGAGACACGGUCCAGACUCCUACGGGAGGCAGCAGUGGGGAAUAUUGCACAAUGGGCGCAAGCCUGAUGCAGCCAUGCCGCGUGUAUGAAGAAGGCCUUCGGGUUGUAAAGUACUUUUCAGCGGGGAGGAAGGGAUUGUGGUUAAUAACCGCAGUCAUUGACGUUACCCGCAGAAGAAGCACCGGCUAACUCCGUGCCAGCAGCCGCGGUAAUACGGAGGGUGCAAGCGUUAAUCGGAAUUACUGGGCGUAAAGCGCACGCAGGCGGUCUGUCAAGUCGGAUGUGAAAUCCCCGGGCUCAACCUGGGAACUGCAUUCGAAACUGGCAGGCUUGAGUCUCGUAGAGGGGGGUGGAAUUCCAGGUGUAGCGGUGAAAUGCGUAGAGAUCUGGAGGAAUACCGGUGGCGAAGGCGGCCCCCUGGACGAAGACUGACGCUCAGGUGCGAAAGCGUGGGGAGCAAACAGGAUUAGAUACCCUGGUAGUCCACGCCGUAAACGAUGUCUACUUGGAGGUUGUGCCCCUGAGGCGUGGCUUCCGGAGCUAACGCGUUAAGUAGACCGCCUGGGGAGUACGGCCGCAAGGUUAAAACUCAAAUGAAUUGACGGGGGCCCGCACAAGCGGUGGAGCAUGUGGUUUAAUUCGAUGCAACGCGAAGAACCUUACCUGGUCUUGACAUCCACGGAAGACUGCAGAGAUGCGGUUGUGCCUUCGGGAACCGUGAGACAGGUGCUGCAUGGCUGUCGUCAGCUCGUGUUGUGAAAUGUUGGGUUAAGUCCCGCAACGAGCGCAACCCUUAUCCUUUGUUGCCAGCGGUCCGGCCGGGAACUCAAAGGAGACUGCCAGUGAUAAACUGGAGGAAGGUGGGGAUGACGUCAAGUCAUCAUGGCCCUUACGACCAGGGCUACACACGUGCUACAAUGGCAUAUACAAAGAGAAGCGACCUCGCGAGAGCAAGCGGACCUCAUAAAGUAUGUCGUAGUCCGGAUUGGAGUCUGCAACUCGACUCCAUGAAGUCGGAAUCGCUAGUAAUCGUGGAUCAGAAUGCCACGGUGAAUACGUUCCCGGGCCUUGUACACACCGCCCGUCACACCAUGGGAGUGGGUUGCAAAAGAAGUAGGUAGCUUAACCUCCGGGAGGGCGCUUACCACUUUGUGAUUCAUGACUGGGGUGAAGUCGUAACAAGGUAGCCGUA